AGGUAAUAAUAAACUUUAAAAAAACCUAUUUAUAUUGGCGGCAAUUAAUCUUAUUAAAGGAACUUGUUUAAUAAACGAUAACACACGUUUAAUUUCACUUAAAUCACUAAUUUAUAUACCGCCAUCUCAAGAAUCAACUAAACCAAGUUAUUCAAAAUACCAUAACCCUAAAAAGUUAGGUCAAGGUGUAAUUGAUAUUUAAGCUAAAAUGAGUUACAAUAAACACUAUUUAAGGAUUUUUAACUCAAAAACUAAAAUAAAAAGGAAUUUAAAUGUAAUAUUUUAAUAAAAAUUAAAUAUGAAUAAGAUAAAAAAUGUGC
rnacentral:rRNA from 1 species